rnacentral:misc_RNA from 1 species
AACCAUUCUCACCUGCGGCUAGACCUGCGGAAGGAUCAUUAUUGAAUUGUUUGUUUGAAUUGGCUUAAAACCCCAAUUCAGCAUCCAUAUCCAUAACACCUGUGCACUGUUGGAUGAACUCGACUCUUGUAGUCUUGCGAGUCCACUUUUACACCAAACAAUUUGUAACAAAUGUAGUCUUAUUAUAACAUAAUAAAACUUUUAACAACGGAUCU